rnacentral:rRNA from 1 species
CAGUCGCCACGGGAAUACGGAGGGUGCAAGCGUUACUCGGAAUCACUGGGCGUAAAGGACGCGUAGGCGGAUUAUCAAGUCUCUUGUGAAAUCUAACGGCUUAACCGUUAAACUGCUUGGGAAACUGAUAAUCUAGAGUAAGGGAGAGGCAGAUGGAAUUCUUGGUGUAGGGGUAAAAUCCGUAGAGAUCAAGAAGAAUACCCAUUGCGAAAGCGAUCUGCUGGAACUUAACUGACGCUAAUGCGUGAAAGCGUGGGGAGCAAACAGGAUUAGAUACCCCCGUAGUCCCUGUCUCUUAUAC